ensembl:lncRNA
AUUUUAUUGUGUCCUUUAGCCUUCUGAUUUACUCUUCAUUGCUAUUUUGUGUUGGUUGUGGUGGUUUCAUACGGGUUGCGUGCAGAUGAAAGGGGUAGCUGUUCAGUGAUGGCAUAAACCAGUUAACGUCUACAUACGGCUGCUCGGUUGGCUGUUAUUUGUCGGAGGACAAGUCACAUGAUCCACAUCCUGAUGUGACCAUGCGCUUUCCUGGAUUCCAGAGGAAGUGGGAGGAAAGCCACAUGCCUAUGGGCUGUAAACAAAAGCAUUUGUCCACCAUGAAGUGGCAUUAUGCUUUCUAUGAGUGCUUCAGACCAGUGCCACAAACCCCAUCUGAUCCAGACACUCAAAGGCCCGGUCCUUGUUAGGUUGCAUAGUGCUGCUGAUUUAGUGAAGCAAAUAGUCCUCGAUCACUGUGGUUCUAAGUAGAUUUCAUCUGUCGCCACUUCAAAUGAAUAUUUAUUCAUUGUUGGAUAAUUUUUCAGUCGUCACUCACGGCAGAGCAGACCAUGGGGUGAAACUGGAGCUCUGUAUUGUCCAAGUACCAAUUCUGUGAGCAGAAAACAUAAAUCAUUUUCACAACGAAUGUUGAUUUUUUUUUUUUUUUAGAUUCAGUGUAACUGAACAUGGGCACCAUAUCCUAUCAUGAGGCUGGAAAACAAAGAAGAGGAAAUAACACUCAUCCGUGUCCAGAGUGGCUAUUAUACGCUUUAACAGAGCAGAGCACGGUUCCUUAAUCCCACUCAACUUCUCACUUGCUGCUUUCUACAGGCAGGUCGCCAUAAAUGGACAUGAGACACAAGACUGGGCAAGUGGAGAAAAAGCGUGUGUCUGUUCUCGGACUUUCCAUCUGAAAAAUGAUUCAGAGUUGUGAAAUAAGGCAUGACGCUUCUAUUUUGACAAUUCUCGGUUUUAUAUAAAAACGUGAAAUAUUUGUCAAUGACAAACCUGGUAUUUUAGAGAAUAUGGACACUGACGCACUACUUGGUACCAGGAAGUCAAAUGUAAACUAAGACCUUUGCGGAACACGUAUCAAUAACAACCUCAAAAUGACCAUGUGGGCUGAAAAUUAGGUGUUUGUUUGACUUUAUAUUUCAGACUGGACCAAAGUGGCGGAUCGACCGAACAGACUGACCUACUCUGCAAUCCCCAAUGCCGGGCUGUCAACAUAUAUUAUCAUCCUCUAAAGGUGGAACAUUAGUUAAACAUUAGUUUACUUUGUUAUUUAUCCUUCACAGAUUUAUCCGAGUGACACAUACAGUUGGUUUAGUUCAUUUUGAAGUGCAGUUCUGAUUUAUUUUAUCAUGCUCAGGCAGGGUUGUUCACAUCAGAUGACAUUAAUGAGCAGAGGAGGUGACUGUCGGGCACAAAGCAGGGAUUUAUGUAUAUAUUAUGUGUUAUGUGUAAAUAUCAAUGUAACUAAAGCACAUUUACACCUGCCGUUUUACACACCCAAGCUUGGCAUAACAUUUAUUUAUUAAUAAAAAAUGAGUCAAACAGCCUUUAUAAAUCAUAAUUCAUAUUUGUUUUAAUCUAAUUUACAGCAUAAGAUAGAAAGGUCCUUCGUCAGAUAAUCAUUGUAUAGGGUAACAUAUGAUAUAAUGAAGUAUUGAAUGAAACGCAUGGUCACCUAAGUAAGGGUGACCAGGGACGAACGGGCUGAAAACAACGCAUAGACCGCAGCAAAUAUUCACCAGACUUGCCAAACCUUUAUUCACUUUAAAGAUGAUAUCAAACUAAAAAUCCCCCACAUGGAAACCUGAACUGUUUUUUCUCUCUGAACAUUCAGUCGUACCGUCAGAAUUAAACAAACGUCAAACCUAGUUUGCAUUUACUUCAUAUUAGGGUUGCGUGUCACCACACAUGAAAGAAAUGAGCACGUCUCUACACGAGAGACCCUCUGCUGUGCUAAACCUGCACUAAGACACAAGCAUCAACUCGCUGAUUUCCCCCCCAAACAGCACACAACAUCAGGAGGGCGGAUAAGGAUAGAGAACUCAUUGUUUGACAUAAAAACACAAUUGCAAGUUCCAAAAAAGUAUCAAUGCCUUGCAUUCACAUGGCUGCUACGGGGGGUCAAACAUGUGACCUUUCCAUGAACAGAUCUAGGACACCAAAUUAGUCCCCCUGCAAGAAAAUAGACAGUUUGGCCAUUGUGUAUGACCAAUGCUUUACUUCUUUCAGUCAUGUUUCCCCGACCCCCCCCCCCCCACCCCCCAGCUGACCUCAUGUUAAUGCUUACAGCUUGAAGGAUACGCAAAAGCAAUAUUGUUUUUAGAUCUAGGAUGCUAAAAAUGAAGGAAAAGCAAGGAAACGGAAUGUGGGGGGGGUCAUCUUAAGGGGUAAUGGUUACUUAUCAUGGUAAGUAACCAUUACUUGCUGGUUUAAAUACAGGCGGAUUUACCAUAGAGCAGCUAUGCACUAACAGACCAUCACAUGACAGAUUAAUCUCCCUUUUGAUAAGAAACAUCAGCUUGUUUGAUCACUCAGGGAGGAUGGACGAGAACAGAAUGUAAUGGAAAUAGAUUGAAAAGAAUGUGUACACAUCAAAAGUACAUAGGCGUUUAAAAAAAACAUAUAUAGAAAUCAUGCUUACUCAAAAUCACCACCACGUCCUGUGUCAUUCGUACACAAGAGGUAAUAACAAAAAGGUGCAAAUGAGAAACAGCAGAAGUACGGUGAAUGUCUCAGAGAGCAACAUGAGCGUUUGGAUUUAAAACUUUGUCCAGCAGUAUGUAGCUCUCUUGCGUGUAAUUAAACACAACAGCAGGGUUCACGAUCACAUAUCGAUUGUUUCAUUGAGUCAAUUAAGAAAAUCCCUUGUUUGAAUCAUCCUUUUUUGCCUCAACACGUCUGAAAAGGCACUGGGCCUUAUACAGUUCAGCACGGCAGGAGUGAAAUAAAAGCAUGAAGUACUAAACUACCCACAUGGAGUAUUUUCACGGAUCGUGGUACGCUUCAUGCACAUGACAUGCAGAGUCAUCCUCAUCAACAAAAUGGCACGGUCACAUUUAGCACUCUUGAAUGACACGUUACAAAAAGAGAAAACAAUUUGAAAUCAAGUUUUCCAUCUGCAAGGCAAGUAUGUAGAAAAACGAAAACGACUCGUGUGUCUGUUGGCUUCUACAUGAGCGAGGCAACCGUUAGGACAUUUCACCUCGCAACAUCCAGUCUUUAUAUCCGUGUCUCAGCGUUUAGAGCACAAGGACGGUCCUCGUUGGGGUAUCAAAGGGAGCACUGUUCCCUCGGCUUGGCACUCACGAGGGACUGUGCAGAUUCCAAGAGAUGACUUGGGAGAGCUUCUUGUAGAAUGAAUCGAGGCGAAGACGUUCACUUUGAGAAGAGGUAACGUGUGAGGUUUGUUUGCUGAAGAAAUAUUUGUUUCUUUUUUUCGAAAAGCGCUCUACCUUCACUUUGUGGCCCCGGAUGCACCAAACACCCCUCCCCCCCAAAAAAAACUGGUCACUUACCCUUUUCGUCAAAGGGUCCCAUGAAACUUGGGUGAACAUUCUUGGCUACAUGGAACUUAAGACUCACAAGAGAGGAACAAGAGAAUAGAAAAUCAAGCGCUCGGCUGCGGAAAAGCACUGACCACAAUCCUUUCACACACAUACCAGCCUAAUUUCAUCCCCCCUCCCCCCGGUCUUUUUGUCCAUUAAACGUCGGCCCCAUUCAGGCCACUAGGUACCAAGAUAGCAUUAUCUCUCCCUUGAUCCUCGUAUUCCGCCAGUCGUUCGGGGCCUUUUAUCAGCCCCUCCCCCUUGUCCUGCACUCCUGUUACUGUUUGCAAGGACCCAGAUCCCCUUAUGUCAGUAAGAUACAGUAACCUCCUCCACCCAUCCCUCACACAUGCAGGAUCAGGUCCCAGCUGGGGCCUAACGUAAACAAAAACCCAUGCACACACACACACACACACACACACACUUUCAGAAACUAUGGGAGAGAGACAUGGCAUGAUUUGGUAAUGUGAGGCCGGUCCCGGGUGGAGGACAUUCUCAUGAUAAUUAGGGAUUUAGCUGGCGGGAGCGCGUACGGACCCAGACGCGGAUUCCUCAAGGCAAAAAUGUGUUUUUUUGUUCCUGUACAGGGGAACAAUUCCUGGCU